rnacentral:rRNA from 1 species
UGGGGAAUAUUGGACAAUGGGCGAAAGCCUGAUCCAGCCAUGCCGCGUGAGUGAUGAAGGCCCUAGGGUUGUAAAGCUCUUUUGUGCGGGAAGAUAAUGACGGUACCGCAAGAAUAAGCCCCGGCUAACUUCGUGCCAGCAGCCGCGGUAAUACGAAGGGGGCUAGCGUUGCUCGGAAUCACUGGGCGUAAAGGGUGCGUAGGCGGGUUUCUAAGUCAGAGGUGAAAGCCUGGAGCUCAACUCCAGAACUGCCUUUGAUACUGGAAGGCUUGAGUUCGGGAGAGGUGAGUGGAACUGCGAGUGUAGAGGUGAAAUUCGUAGAUGUUCGCAAGAACACCAGUGGCGAAGGCGGCUCACUGGCCCGAUACUGACGCUGAGGCACGAAAGCGUGGGGAGCAAACA